rnacentral:lncRNA from 1 species
UCUGGCCCUGCCCUGGAGGAAGGUGGAGUCACAGAUGGAAGAGGCAACGUGGCCUGCAAUGCAAGCAGGAGGUAAAGUGUCACUGCAAUGACCCAGGGAAUUUGUUAUAGGAGCUGAAUCAGUCUGUGUAGCAAAACUGCCUACCACAAAGUGCUGUGUAAGGCAGUAUCUCACAUGGACAGCCUCCGUGGAGGGGUUGUCUCACUGGAGACAGUAACUGUCCUGUACAAUCCUCGGGGUGAAGGAGACACUCUAAGCCCUGUGGACUACACGGGCAGUGUGCCAUAGCCCUGCAGCUUCCUGUAGGCACGAGACCCUCCCACUCCCACAGGUGGCAGUGACCGGUACAGGACAUGGCUGAGUCAUGAGUCCCCACUGGGGAGAACACACCAACCUCCGAGACUGAGGCAGCCCCGGAGGAGGCACCACGUGCUGCAGGAGGUGACUGAGGACUGUGCAGCCACAGCCUGCAAGGCUGGAACAAAGACCUCAGAGACCCUGAGAGCUGAACCAUGGGAAAAGCCAACCUCUGCCCUUACCGCCAGAGAGGCCCAGCCCCUCACCCAGCAGCUGCACCCCGUCCCCUCUGCUGAGCCACCCUGGGAUGAACGUGUGCCAAAUGACGAAGUUAGUAGGAAGCAGCUUUGGGGAAGCCCCUGGGGGUCCAGCUGGACACUGUCCCCAGCCAGAGCAGCCACUGUGUACAGGGGACAAAGCAGCAUGAUGCCAGGAGGAAUGUCUCUGUUGGAAGGAAAGUGGAUUAAGCACAAUGCUCAGGCUGCUGAACGCGCCAACCCCAGACAUGG